CCAGCCAUGCCGCGUGUGUGAAGAAGGCCUUCGGGUUGUAAAGCACUUUCMGUGGGGAGGAAGGCYAAGUAGUUAAUACCUGCUUGGAUUGACGUUACCCACAGAARAAGCACCGGCUAACUCCGUGCCAGCAGCCGCGGUAAUACRGAGGGUGCAAGCGUUAAUCGGAAUUACUGGGCGUAAAGCGCACGCAGGCGGUUUGUUAAGCUAGAUGUGAAAGCCCCGGGCUCAACCUGGGAUGGUCAUUUAGAACUGGCAGACUAGAGUCUUGGAGAGGGGAGUGGAAUUCCAGGUGUAGCGGUGAAAUGCGUAGAUAUCUGGAGGAACAUCAGUGGCGAAGGCGGCUCCCUGGCCAAAGACUGACGCUCAUGUGCGAAAGUGUGGGUAGCGAACAGGAUUAGAUACCCUGGUAGUCCACACCGUAAACGCUGUCUACUAGCUGUUUGCGACUUUAAGUUGUGAGUAGCGAAGCUAACGCGCUAAGUAGACCGCCUGGGGAGUACGGCCGCAAGGUUAAAACUCAAAUGAAUUGACGGGGGCCCGCACAAGCGGUGGAGCAUGUGGUUUAAUKYGAUGCAACGCGAAGAACCUUACCCUACACUUGACAUGCAGAGAACUUUCCAGAG
rnacentral:rRNA from 1 species